AACGCAAAUUGCACUCUCUGUUACGGAGAGUAUGCCUGUUUGAGGGUCAGUAUAAUUUAAAUCGGUGUGUUGCUCUUGUGACGCUCCGGAGUUUGUGUUAUCUUAACCUUUGGGUUAAGAGACUUAAAAUUGAUUUCUUUUGCGCAUUUUUAGACGUACAUAAAUUUUUUUUAUUGUCUGUUCUAAUGCCAAAAUUUUAUUAGAUACAAUCAUAUCAUGUGGUCCCGUAUCUAUAAGUUUUCAUAAUUUGACCUCAAAUCAGGUAAGAGUACCCGCUGAACUUAA
rnacentral:misc_RNA from 1 species